rnacentral:lncRNA from 1 species
GCAAAAGGGGGAAUAACUCUCAUAUGGAGUGUUCAUAUCGCUUCGGUUAAAAUAGGACAAAUCAUGCGAAGGAUAUAACGAGCAAUUUUAUAAAAUAAAUUUGUCGCAUUUUUCUACGGUUACGGAGGAGAUGCACUCUGAUGAUAAACAAUGAAAGGGGAGAUAACUCUUACAAAGAAAAUGGUUCGCCUUAGCAGGGUGAAAUUUAAAAGCGCAUAAACUAUACGAUACCAUAUGAGAAAUAUCUAAGCGACAUAUUGCGAAACAAACAUUUAUCGCAAGAACAAAAUUUGGCGGAAGAAAAAAAAAAAAAAAUAAUAAUCACAACAAAUACAAUAGGUCUUUCCACAGAAAAGUGGAAAGACCUAAUAAUUAAAAACCAAUUGUUCAGAGAACAAUUGAAAGUCUUUCCACAUCAAAGAAAUUUUGAUAAGAAGAUAGUUUCUUCAUACUAAUUCGAUAAAUAAUGGUUUAAUUAUAUUUUUGAGUGAUGUAAGGGAGAUAAAAUGCUACUUCCGUUGAAAUGAAUGUCACUUCGGGUCUCAUAUGAUAGCUUCUUUCACACUGAUUCCAAAAAUAUAUAGUUUCUAUAUACUCUUGUAUGUAGAAUGGGAGAUAAUUGGACACUUCCGGUUUGUUGGAUGUCAUUUUUAAUCUUCAGUUAUCAGUUUAUGUAUCUAUAUGACAAAAUAUAUGGAUUCUGAGUAAUUUUAUAUGAAAAAAUUGCAAAAAAGCUACUUCCGGUUUUCUCAAGGUCACUUCCGGUUGUCAUUUUUCAAGGUCAUUGGUCAUCUUACCUUUUGUACAAGGUCAAAUGCCUUUAUAAUGAACUUAGUUGAAGUUUUAAUCAAAUAACCUCAUAUCAAGACAGUUCAGAGGCACCAACUCCUAUAAGAUGCCAUUUAAUUGUAUCAGACAUAAUGUAGCAUAUCUUCAUAAAAAUAAAGCAGACAUUUUGCACUUGUUCUUUUAUAUGUAUCUUUCAAAGUGUCAGAGAAAAUGCAAAAACAAGCAAAAGUCACAAUUGAGAACUUGACCUUGACCUUUGACCUGGACCUAAUUUUCUAAUUUAGGAACCAUGGGACUCAAAUGAAAACAUUCCAGGGUUAUAUGAUUAACGGUUUAUGAGUUUAAAAAACAUACCGACAAAUUUAUUCCGUAAAGGUAGAUAACUCCUAUAAAAUGUCAUCGAAUCGCUUCGAUCCAAAUUAGCCAAAAAUUACUGAGGAUGUAAUGAACAAUUUGUAAAAAGAAUUUUGUCGAUAUCUUUUUUUGUUACGAAGGAGAUGCACUCUGAUGAUAAACAGUGAAUAGGGAGAUAACUCUUACAAAGAAAAUGGUUCGCCUUAGCAGGGUGAAAUUUAAAAGCGCAUAAACUAUACGAUACCAUAUGAGAAAUAUCUAAGCGACAUAUUGCGAAACAAACAUUUAUCGCAAGAACAAAAUUUGGCGGAAAAAAAAAAAUAAUUAAAAACCAAUUGUUCAGAGAACAAUUGAAGGUCUUUCCACCA